GGAACAUACUUCCCAGCAGUAGCAGCAGGUGCAGGCUCAGGACGAACAGGACUACCAGGUUCAGCUGGCCUAGGUGGCUCCAAGGUCUUCGCCAAUAGAGCUUCUCUUCUCAGCCUAUCUUUCUCUUCCAACUCUCUUUCCCUCUGCUUUUGCUUCUCAAAUAUUUCAUCCAAUUUGGCUUGCUUCUCCGCAUCUUCCUUCUUCUUCCUCUCAGCCUCUUCCCGUUUUCGUGCUUCUUCCUCUUCACGCAGCUUGGUCAGCCUCUCCUCCUCAGAUUUUAGAAAGAAAAGUAGCUUCCGUUUAAUCUCCCUGUCACGUUUUAGUGCUGCUACUUGCUCUCUGAUGCGGUCAUCCCUCUCUUGUUUCAACCGAUUGAAUUCAGCUUGGCGACGGCUGUCUAUCCUUUGCUGAAAAAUAACCUUGUUUUCCAACAUCCUCGCCAGUCGGUUCUUUUCUUGCAAGUCACCUGCAUGGUGCUGUCGGCUCAGCUCUAUCUCUUUCAGUUGUUCCUGCUCAUGAAGAUGCUGUUCCUCCACCAGACGCUGCUGAAAUGCCUGCUCAAAAAUUGGGGUCUCUUCUUCCCUUUUAGCUCGUUCCAUGUAGUCCAUAGUUUUCCCUAAUUUAUUAAGCUUCUUUUCCAUUUCUUGACGUUCCUUGACUUGUGCAGUUAAGUUGUAGUCAAUCACAGAUUGCUUGGUAAACUUGUCCCCCUCAAUGAUAGGUUUUUUC
rnacentral:misc_RNA from 1 species